rnacentral:rRNA from 1 species
GGAGCUUGCUCCACCGGAAAAAGAAGAGUGGCGAACGGGUGAGUAACACGUGGGUAACCUGCCCAUCAGAAGGGGAUAACACUUGGAAACAGGUGCUAAUACCGUAUAACAAUCGAAACCGCAUGGUUUUGAUUUGAAAGGCGCUUUCGGGUGUCGCUGAUGGAUGGACCCGCGGUGCAUUAGCUAGUUGGUGAGGUAACGGCUCACCAAGGCCACGAUGCAUAGCCGACCUGAGAGGGUGAUCGGCCACAUUGGGACUGAGACACGGUCCAAACCUCUACGGGAGGCAGCAGUAGGGAAUCUUCGGCAAUGGACGAAAGUCUGACCGAGCAACGCCGCGUGAGUGAAGAAGGUUUUCGGAUCGUAAAACUCUGUUGUUAGAGAAGAACAAGGAUGAGAGUAACUGUUCAUCCCUUGACGGUAUCUAACCAGAAAGCCACGGCUAACUACGUGCCAGCAGCCGCGGUAAUACGUAGGUGGCAAGCGUUGUCCGGAUUUAUUGGGCGUAAAGCGAGCGCAGGCGGUUUCUUAAGUCUGAUGUGAAAGCCCCCGGCUCAACCGGGGAGGGUCAUUGGAAACUGGGAGACUUGAGUGCAGAAGAGGAGAGUGGAAUUCCAUGUGUAGCGGUGAAAUGCGUAGAUAUAUGGAGGAACACCAGUGGCGAAGGCGGCUCUCUGGUCUGUAACUGACGCUGAGGCUCGAAAGCGUGGGGAGCAAACAGGAUUAGAUACCCUGGUAGUCCACGCCGUAAACGAUGAGUGCUAAGUGUUGGAGGGUUUCCGCCCUUCAGUGCUGCAGCUAACGCAUUAAGCACUCCGCCUGGGGAGUACGACCGCAAGGUUGAAACUCAAAGGAAUUGACGGGGGCCCGCACAAGCGGUGGAGCAUGUGGUUUAAUUCGAAGCAACGCGAAGAACCUUACCAGGUCUUGACAUCCUUUGACCACUCUAGAGAUAGAGCUUCCCCUUCGGGGGCAAAGUGACAGGUGGUGCAUGGUUGUCGUCAGCUCGUGUCGUGAGAUGUUGGGUUAAGUCCCGCAACGAGCGCAACCCUUAUUGUUAGUUGCCAUCAUUUAGUUGGGCACUCUAGCAAGACUGCCGGUGACAAACCGGAGGAAGGUGGGGAUGACGUCAAAUCAUCAUGCCCCUUAUGACCUGGGCUACACACGUGCUACAAUGGGAAGUACAACGAGUCGCGAAGUCGCGAGGCUAAGCUAAUCUCUUAAAGCUUCUCUCAGUUCGGAUUGUAGGCUGCAACUCGCCUACAUGAAGCCGGAAUCGCUAGUAAUCGCGGAUCAGCACGCCGCGGUGAAUACGUUCCCGGGCCUUGUACACACCGCCCGUCACACCACGAGAGUUUGUAACACCCGAAGUCGGUGAGGUAACCU